rnacentral:tRNA from 1 species
GCCGGGAUGGUGAAAUCGGUAAACACGCGACACUUAAAAUGUCGUGAGCAUUUGCUCUUGUGGGUUCAAGUCCCACUCCCGGCACAA